rnacentral:rRNA from 1 species
GAUGAACGCUGGCGGCGUGCUUAACACAUGCAAGUCGAACGAUGAAGCCCAGCUUGCUGGGUGGAUUAGUGGUGAACGGGUGAGUAACACGUGAGUAACCUGCCCUUAACUCUGGGAUAAGCCUGGGAAACUGGGUCUAAUACCGGAUAGGAGCGCCUACCGCAUGGUGGGUGUUGGAAAGAUUUAUCGGUUUUGGAUGGACUCACGGCCUAUCAGCUUGUUGGUGAGGUAAUGGCUCACCAAGGCGACGACGGGUAGCCGGCCUGAGAGGGUGACCGGCCACACUGGGACUGAGACACGGCCCAGACUCCUACGGGAGGCAGCAGUGGGGAAUAUUGCACAAUGGGCGAAAGCCUGAUGCAGCGACGCCGCGUGAGGGAUGACGGCCUUCGGGUUGUAAACCUCUUUCAGUAGGGAAGAAGCGAAAGUGACGGUACCUGCAGAAGAAGCACCGGCUAACUACGUG